AAGUUUCAACUCUCAAAUCUCCCUCUCAUUUUUCACAAAAAAAAAACUCCCUCUCAAUUUCAUAAACCUUCACCUAUAAAUACAAGCUUUCAGACAUACAAGAAGAGAGGAAUAAAAUCAUCAGAAAAUGCUGCCAAACUUAUCCACAUCUUCCUCCAAGUAAACCAUACCAAACCUUCAUCUUUGAGCUUCAAUUUUCAGAAACAUGUAAACUCCAUCAACUUCAUGACACAACACUUAACCUGCAACAAUAACUCAAGGUAUUCUGAAAUCAACAAACCUCUAAAAUGCAGCUCAACACCAAUGCAUCAGAUCAACUCCAUUCAACCUUCACCUCGAUGCAUCAAACAUCGACGCAUUUCAAAACCUUCAACAUAA